AAAGCUGGCCUUCGGGUCCGCAUUGUAAUUUGUAGAGGAUGCUUUGGGUGAAACGCCAGUCUAAGUUCCUUGGAACAGGACGUCAUAGAGGGUGAGAAUCCCGUAUGUGACUGGAAAUGUUAACCUAUGUAAAGCUCCUUCGACGAGUCGAGUUGUUUGGGAAUGCAGCUCUAAAUGGGAGGUAAAUUUCUUCUAAAGCUAAAUAUUGGCGAGAGACCGAUAGCGCACAAGUAGAGUGAUCGAAAGAUGAAAAGCACUUUGGAAAGAGAGUUAAAAAGCACGUGAAAUUGUUGAAAGGGAAGCGCUUGCAAUCAGACUUGUUUAAACUGUUCGGCCGGUCUUCUGACCGGUUUACUCAGUUUGGACAGGCCAGCAUCAGUUUCGGCGGCCGGAUAAAGGCUCUGGGAAUGUGGCCUUCACUUCGGUGAAGGUGUUAUAGCCCAGGGUGUAAUACGGCCAGCCGGGACUGAGGUCCGCGCUUCGGCUAGGAUGCUGGCGUAAUGGUUGUAAGCGACC
rnacentral:rRNA from 2 species